rnacentral:tRNA from 2 species
UUAAUUGAAACCAAAAGAGAGGUUUAUCACUGUUAAUGAUAACAAUGAAUUAUAUUCCGAUUAAA